GGUCUCCUCUCUGCCUCUGCGAUUUCUGAAAGUGCCCUCUGCCGGUCUCCUCUCGCCGUUGCCACCCGCCAUCCCCAGCCUCGCCGUCGUCCAUCCAUCUCUGCCUCAUCGUCACAUAUUCUGGCCAUCUCUCGCUCUCUGCUUCGUCGAAUCUUCGUCGCCACUCGCCGUCCUCGGCCAUCUCUGCUUCGCCUAUCUCUUCUUCGUAUCCACAAGUUUUCAAAUAAUCAGCGAUGGGAAAAGGCAAAGCCAAGAUAGAGAUAAAAAAAAUUGAGUCUUGCAGGCUCGAAACGUCUGUUUCACGAAGCGCCGCAAGGGGCUGUUCAAAAAGGCGGCGGAGCUCGGCCGCCUCUUCCCCGAAGUUCGCAUUGCUGCUGUUGUCUUUUCUCCCGCCGGAAAUCCAUACUUUUUUGGUGAGGUUUCGAAAAUGGAGAAGCUGUUGACCAGAUGUGAAGAAGAAGAAAUUGCGAGUUCUACUCCGGUGGUGGAGGUUACAGCGCCGACUGAGAGUCCGGAGAUGGAUUUUGAUGGAUUGGAUGAGAUCGUCUGGAGAUGGUGAAGAUGGAUCAGCCUAACUGAAUUGGCCUUGUGUUUUUCGUAAUUGUAAGUAGUAAGUUGCAAGUAAUGACUUCCAAUUUUGCAGAUUCGUUGCUUACUUAAUGAAGUCUGAUCGUGAGCAUUUUGUUCACGGAUGAUCUUGUAUGCCUUCUGGCUGCUUUAUAUAAUUUCUAUUUUAAACACAAGUAAUUUUGUUCAAGUAAUUGAUGAAUUAAUUAUAUCCAGUUGAGU